rnacentral:rRNA from 1 species
CGGUGAAUACGUCAACUGACGUCUUGUACACACCGCCCGUCAAACCAUGAAAGUGACCAACACCCGAAGUCCGAUUCGUCGGCCUAAGGUGGGGGCAUGAUUGGGGUU